rnacentral:misc_RNA from 1 species
UUUGAAAAAGAUAAUUUUUUUUUUCAAGUCAACCUUAGAAGGACGCCUAUGUGCUCAUAGUAAUCAAAUCUUGAAAAGAAUAACUAGAAGUGAUUAAAAGAAAUCAAAUAGACCUGCAGGAACUUGAUGAUGUUGCUGGCACCAAAGACUCUAUGAGCAAUGGUGAACUUGUAAGGUUCAGUGGGAGGAAAAUAAGGAGCUAGAACACAUUUCUCGGCGCAUCUCCGGCGAAGAAUUUUGCAGGCAGCGCAAGGGCUAAGAACAACAGAAGGAGGGGAAGGAUGAGGAGGAAGAGAAGGAGUAAGAGUUGGAGAAGACUGAGAAGGAGAAGGAAUACCAGGAGAAGACUGAGAAGAUGGUGAAGCAGCAGAAGAAGAUGGUGAGUAAGAGAAAGGAGAAGGAACAGCAACCGGAGAUAUGGCUGCAACUGCUUUGUCAAGGUUUCCCAUUUCUUUAGAGAGAGAGAGAGAAGGAGAAGAUGAAGAAAACUAGCAUUUUAACCAUGUUGCGGUCAUAUAAACAGUGGAACACAAAAUAAAGCAGAUUAAUGAAAUACUGGAAAAAUACAAAAUAAAAAAUAAAAAAUAAAAGUGCUGCUUUUCACUUCCGUGCAAGAUAAAAUGCUAACAAUUGAAGCAAAUAUGAAAGAGGCGAAAUCAAGGUCCAAAGAAUCUGAUGAAAAUUUGGUUAGGCGGAGAACACCAGCUCCUAUAAAUGAAAAAGCAGUCGCAAUUCUCAGUCAGAGAAUAACACCUCCAAUUCUGGUUGAUCUGUCCCAAUCAAGGUAUUUUUAUACAAGCCUUCCUUUCUUUGAUCACCAAUUCCGUUCUCCACAUAAUCCAUAUCUGACCAAUCCUGGUCGUGGUUGUCCACAGUUAAGAGCUCAUCAGUAACAUAGCUAGCAACAUUCUUUUUGUUAUUCUCUCCCUGGCCCUCAUGCAUGUAACUAUGAGGAGUUGGAUAUCCCCCAGCCUUUGCUUCAGAAUCCUCGCAUAUGCAGGAUGAUGGGUUUUCAUGAAACUCACCCCUGCCAGGUUUCACCUCAUUUGGCCCUCCCAUGAAGCCAAUUUGAUGAGUACGAACCUUGGAGGCAAACUCUUCCCAUGUCAUGUUAUGUCGGUUCAAGAACAAUCUGUAAAGUUUUUUAGCAUUUGGCUUAAUUGUUGGCUUGUGUCCAAAAUAUCUCCUUCGUCCAGCUAACAUUCUAGCCAUGUUGCCAUUGUUGUUGGUGACAAAUACAUCACUUUCACCACAAACAAUGAAGUCUAGUGCAGCCAUGCGAGAAGAAAAUAAAGAAAAUGGUGCCAACUCUUCCUUGCUAGCUAAAGUUUCUUUUGAAUGAAAAUUGGGAAACAGAGCCUUGAGGGGUAUUAAAGUCUCUUCACCACCAUAUACUUCACCUGAUGCCACAUAUAUGUGAAUGUCACUUCCAAAACCCAAUGCUCGCAGCAUAAGACCAACUUCCUCUGGUGUUAACGGGCAUCUUCCUUGCCUCUGCACUUUCUCAGGGUUCUUUUGAUGUAAACUUAACCACCUCUUCCGAAUUGCACCAAGUUCUAUCUUUUCUUUUUCUCCACCACCAUAAUAACAUCCAGAGAAAGCAAGCAUAUCAGCUUCAAACCUACAAAAUAAUGUGCUAAACUACAGUAAUGAUCUCCUUUACUGUUAUUAAUAUCAUAAAAUUAUCUAUCAUAAGAGAAAACCUCUUUAGUGCAACUAAAUAUCAAAAUCACAUAUCACAUGCAUUAAUAAAUUAAUGAGCUCAAGAAAUACAUCAUAUGCAAUUUAGACUUCCAUGGCAACAUGAAAAAGACAGGAAUAAGUCAGACAACUCAUAUAAGAAGAAGGUUUAACAUUAUUAAAUUUCUACAACUUUGUUUUUUAAGAAAAUCUAGUAUUGCAAGGACCAUACCUCAAGUGCAAGGCAAUGAAGUGAUUGCUUUUCAUUCUCAUUCUCUCAACCAACUUUUUACCCAUUUCAAGAAUAGAAUCAGUAAAUUUUAAAGCAUGGUAAUUGACUCUGCACCUCAACUUUUGUAAAUCCAUGUCCAGCCUAUUUGAUAGCCUGUAAUCAAAUUUCCCAAGCUGGAUAGCAUUUACAUGCUUCUUAUUAAAAACGGGUAAAACAUGGUUCUGAUAGCAUUUUGGAGUGCACUUCCUUGGGACACGCAUGUGAUAAGGAGUCAAAACUUUUCCUUCCUUCAUUGGGAGCUGUUUGAUGAUUUUAACAUCUUUUGAGAGGAAUGAAAUGAACCAGUCAACAUCAAAGAUUUCAGAGAAAUCACUAGUAUCUGUCCAGAACGAUUUCUGAUCCAGCUUUGGAACAACAAGAGUAGCAUUCAAAAUAUAAGCUGCAACAACAGCAUCUGUUAUCCCGGUCCUCUGUUGAUUUAACCCUCCACUGGUAGCAAUCAACAAGUACCGAUUGUGAUGCGUUUUCAUAUCAGCAGUUGGAAAGUCAUCGCUGCCAUUAGUGCAACCAUAGUAGAACUUCGAUAAUCCCGAGCUCCAUAAAUCACGCCCUAUGGUCUCUUCACUUUCCGGUAUACGAAACGUCGUCGUUAUAUCCGAAGUCGAGUUUUCUGUGACUGCUUUUUUAGGCAUUGGGUAAUGGUAGCAGGUGACAGGAUGAGGCGAAGAGGGAAGAGAGAAAGCAACGAAAAAGAGAAGGAGGCAACACGAAAAGGAGUAGAGGAGAUGAAACGAGUGGUGGCGCCACCUCGUGAUAAGGAAAAUCCGGUAGAUGCCAGCGGUGAUGCUGCGGCCGCUAUCUCUCUUCUUUUUCUUCAUUGUAGAAAAAGGAAGAAGCUUUUGUUCUCUUGCUGUUGGUAACAGCUUUGGAAGAUAAGCAUUUGAUAAGAGGAAGAAUUGCCGGUGCCUUUGAGUCGGAGCUGUUGUAGCUAGAGGAAGAAGAAGAAAUUAUAUUUCAAUAUGAGAGCUUUUUAUUUUUGAUGAUUUUCUGUUUUAUUUGUUACGUAUAAGAUAUGACCCACAAGAGAAAAAGGAAAGAAAAACAGAAUCGCCUUCACUAGACAUGGCCUGCCCACCGCAACUUCUCUUUCUUAGUACCUCGACUUCAU